rnacentral:ncRNA from 1 species
CUUAUCAAGAGCGGCGGAGGGAACAGGCCCUGUGAAGCCCGGCAACCUACAGCGAUGCAAGGUGCCAAAUCCUGCGGGAAACCGAAAGAUAAG